AGCUUGAUUAUUGAAGAAAACCCUCUUAUGAGUGAUAGUUUAUUUGGUUAGUUAACUAGAGAUUAUCUUAGUGAUUAGUUGUGUGGAUCUUUGGAGCAGGAAAAUACGAUGCAAUUGUUGCUGCUGCAUACAUACAUGGAGUCAUUUAGGCCAACACGAUCAAUCUCCCUCUUCUCCACGAAAAAAAUAUGAAGCACCACUGGGGCACGGGAAGAAAGAUGGUGAUGAAGAGGACGAUGAGGAUGCAGAGGAAGAUGCAGAAGUUGAACUACUACUAGAACCAGCUAUAAUUUCAGAGUCCAACCACAUGUGAGCUAAUACUUGGCAUAUGCCUUCUUCAACUUCUGGACUUAAAC